GACGAACGCUGGCGGCGUGCUUAACACAUGCAAGUCGAACGGAAAGGCCCUGCUUUUGUGGGGUGCUCGAGUGGCGAACGGGUGAGUAACACGUGAGUAACCUGCCCUUGAUUUUGGGAUAACUUCAGGAAACUGGGGCUAAUACCGGAUAGGAGCUCCUGCUGCAUGGUGGGGGUUGGAAAGUUUCGGUGGUUGGGGAUGGACUCGCGGCUUAUCAGCUUGUUGGUGGGGUAGUGGCUUACCAAGGCUUUGACGGGUAGCCGGCCUGAGAGGGUGACCGGCCACAUUGGGACUGAGAUACGGCCCAGACUCCUACGGGAGGCAGCAGUGGGGAAUAUUGCACAAUGGGCGGAAGCCUGAUGCAGCAACGCCGCGUGCGGGAUGACGGCCUUCGGGUUGUAAACCGCUUUCGCCUGUGACGAAGCGUGAGUGACGGUAAUGGGUAAAGAAGCACCGGCUAACUACGUG
rnacentral:rRNA from 1 species